CACGGACUGAGGGCAAAAGAAGAAUCAGCUGACCGGGGGGUAUAUAACGUUUCAAGGAGGAGGCUGACCAUCCAGAUUGCCCUCAGUCGUAGAGGUUGAAGCAACUUCCCAGCCAACAUGAAGCUGCUUUCUUUGUUGAUGGCCAUGGUUGUGGCCCUGUCCUGCUUCAUGGGAUCUGCUCUCGCCAUGCCCGAGCCCUAUGCCUUCCCUGACGCUGACGCCGUGGCAGAGGCCGAACCGUGGCGCUAUAGGCCCCAUGGGCACAUCCAUACCCACUACCAUAGGCCCUACGGACUCCACAGUCAUGUCUACUGGCACUAGGCAGUCACGGAGUGCAGUGUAGAAGACCCAUUACCGCCAAUUAAGAUUUCUCUUUCUCGUCCUCUACUUAUAUCUGUCGAAGUCUAAUACCAAUGUACUUCUUUCUAAAUUAAAAGGUAUGCAAGGA